rnacentral:snRNA from 1 species
AUACCUUUCUCUGCCUUUUUGCUAAGAUCAAGUGUAACAUCUGUUUUUAUCAGUUUAAUAGCUGAUAUGGGCCACGUGUCCAAUUUUUUGUGCGAGCGUAGUUUGUUGAUAGCUCCCUCCCACAAAAAAUUAGGUUAAUAGCAUUGGCACAUGUGUCGUACCACCUUAGAUUGU